rnacentral:pre_miRNA from 9 species
UCUCGAUGGCGUAAAAGUUAACUUAAGUUUGUAUGGAGUUGGAAACUUUGCCUACGUUUGCCGCUAGGGGCGUUGUUCCAACUGCAUACAAAUUUGAGUUAAUUUUUAUAUGCUAUGGA